rnacentral:rRNA from 1 species
UGUACAAAGGUAGCAUAAUCAUUUGUCUCUUAAUUGGGGUCUGGAAUGAAUGGUUGGAUGAAAAAUUUACUUUCUUUUUUUUAUAAAAAAAAAUUGAUUUUUAGAUUAAAAAGUCUAGAUAGUUAUAAAGGACGAGAAGACCCUAUAGAACUUUAUUUUUUAAAUUAUUAUUUAAUUUUUGAAAAUUUUCUUUUUUAAUUUUUUCAAAAAUUAUAUUGGGGUGAUAAAAAAAAUUUUUUAACUUUUUUUAAUUUAUUCAUUUAUAUAUGAAUUAUUGAUCCUUUAUUAAGGAUAAUAAGUUUAAGUUACCUUAGGGAUAACAGCGUUAUUAUUUUAGAGAGUUCAUAUUGAUAAAAUAGUUUGCGACCUCGAUGUUGGAUUAAAAUAAGUUUCAGGAGUAGAAAAUUGAUUAACUAGGUCUGUUCGACCUUUAAAUUUUUACAUGAUCUGAGUUCAAACCGGAGA